UGGGGAAUUUUGGACAAUGGGCGAAAGCCUGAUCCAGCAAUGCCGCGUGUGUGAAGAAGGCCUUCGGGUUGUAAAGCACUUUUGUCCGGAAAGAAAUCCUUGGCUCUAAUACAGUCGGGGGAUGACGGUACCGGAAGAAUAAGCACCGGCUAACUACGUGCCAGCAGCCGCGGUAAUACGUAGGGUGCAAGCGUUAAUCGGAAUUACUGGGCGUAAAGCGUGCGCAGGCGGUUUGCUAAGACCGAUGUGAAAUCCCCGGGCAUCCAACCUGGGAACUGCAUUGGUGACUGGCAGGCUAGAGUAUGGCAGAGGGGGGUAGAAUUCCACGUGUAGCAGUGAAAUGCGUAGAGAUGUGGAGGAAUACCGAUGGCGAAGGCAGCCCCCUGGGCCAAUACUGACGCUCAUGCACGAAAGCGUGGGGAGCAAACAGGAUUAGAUACCCUGGUAGUCCACGCCCUAAACGAUGUCAACUAGUUGUUGGGGAUUCAUUCCUUAGUAACGUAGCUAACGCGUGAAGUUGACCGCCUGGGGAGUACGGUCGCAAGAUUAAAACUCAAAGGAAUUGACGGGGUCAUAGCUGUUUCCU
rnacentral:rRNA from 1 species